CCCACUGUCAAAUUUCUCUACUCAACGCGAUCGCGACAAGUAUCGGGAAUUAAUUUGAUCUGAUAAAUAAUUAAUUAUCUUUCACGCACUAUAAAUUUUGAAUAAUACGUAAUUAUAUCAUUUUAAUAAAUUUGCGGGAGUGCCGUUUAAAAGUAUCGCGCGUGUGAAUGAACCUGAGGACCAGGCCUCGGGCAUUGGUGAUCAUCGUAGCGAUCUUGACAUUCUGAGAGGAGGAGGAGGCCUAGGAGAGGCAUCCUGCACCAGCGGAGCAACCCAAGGACAACGUAGCCUCAAGCCCAAAUCUCCGCUGUUGCGCAUCAGUGCCGGUGAGUGAUAAAUUUUAUUUUAUUUUGAGACGACGGAUCUGUAGAUAUUGUAGAUGCAAAUGUAGAUUGUAGAUUGUAAAUAGAUCCGUUGCCUCAAAAUGGAUGGGCUAAAAUAGACGAAAUCAAAUAACUUUCAAUAGACUUUUUAAAUAUACAUUAAAACAUAUAGAAAUAUAUAAUUUAAAAAUAUAAAUUAAAAAGUUGAAAAAAAUAUAUAAUAUUUUUCUCAAUAGAAAUUUUAUUUAA